CCGGGGCGUGCCGGGAGUGCGGCCGGGGACUCGUGGACGCCAACUUCCGUUUCUGCUCACUGAGCUGCAAGCUUGAUGGAAUGGUGUCAGAUCCCAAUUUGACAUUCAUGAUUGAUCCGAGGCGCAACCGGGGAAAUUCGGGCUCAAACACAGAAGAUGAAGGCGAGGACGAUGAUCUGCCGGGGCCUAGCGACCCUCCGCUGGGAUGGAUCAGCUACCGCCGCCGGCCCCGGAAGGGUGUCCCUGAACGGGCACCCUUCUAUUGAUCUUGGUUGUUUUUGGUCAGUUGUCACCAAUUUCGACAUUGUUUCCAUUUCUGCGUCAUUUCAAGAACAACAACGUUUUCAUUAGAGACAUGUUGAUCUUUUCCCUCUCAUGAUCUAGAGAUGGGAAAAAGACUGAUAUUUCCAUUGGUUCAAUAAUGGUGAGGUAGCUGCCUCGAAGAUACAUUAUGCAUGUUGUAAUGUCAGUGUCUCGUACUUAUUUGAAAUAUUGUGGAUGCUCUAUUGCCAUGGUCUUGGUAUUUCUAUUUUAUAAUGGAUCCUAUGA